rnacentral:rRNA from 1 species
GUUGAACGCUGGCGGCAGGCCUAACACAUGCAAGUCGAGCGGAUGAAGGGAGCUUGCUCCUGGAUUCAGCGGCGGACGGGUGAGUAAUGCCUCGGAAUCUGCCUGGUAGUGGGGGAUAACGUCCGGAAACGGGCGCUAAUACCGCAUACGUCCUGAGGGAGAAAGUGGGGGAUCUUCGGACCUCACGCUAUCAGAUGAGCCUAGGUCGGAUUAGCUAGUUGGUGGGGUAAAGGCCUACCAAGGCGACGAUCCGUAACUGGUCUGAGAGGAUGAUCAGUCACACUGGAACUGAGACACGGUCCAGACUCCUACGGGAGGCAGCAGUGGGGAAUAUUGGACAAUGGGCGAAAGCCUGAUCCAGCCAUGCCGCGUGUGUGAAGAAGGUCUUCGGAUUGUAAAGCACUUUAAGUUGGGAGGAAGGGCAGUAAGUUAAUACCUUGCUGUUUUGACGUUACCAACAGAAUAAGCACCGGCUAACUUCGUG